CGAAGGGGGCUAGCGUUGUUCGGAAUCGACUGGGCGUAAAGGGCGCGUAGGCGGGUCUUUAAGUCGGGGGUGAAAGCCUGUGGCUCAACCACAGAAUGGCCUUCGAUACUGGGGACCUUGAGACCGGAAGAGGUGAGUGGAACUGCGAGUGUAGAGGUGAAAUUCGUAGAUAUUCGCAAGAACACCAGUGGCGAAGGCGGCUCACUGGUCCGGUUCUGACGCUGAGGCGCGAAAGCGUGGGGAGCAAACAGGAUUAGAUACCCUGGUAGUCCACGCCGUAAACGAUGGAUGCUAGCCGUUGGCGCGCUUGCGCGUCAGUGGCGCCGCUAACGCUUUAAGCAUCCCGCCUGGGGAGUACGGUCGCAAGAUUA
rnacentral:rRNA from 1 species